CAUAGGUUUGGUCCCAGCCUUCCUGUUAACUCUUAAUAAACUUACACAUGCAAGCAUCUACACCCCAGUGAGAAUGCCCUCUAGGUUAUUAAAACUAAGAGGAGCUGGCAUCAAGCACACACCCUGUAGCUCACGACGCCUUGCUUAACCACACCCCCACGGGAAACAGCAGUGACAAAAAUUAAGCCAUAAACGAAAGUUUGACUAAGUUAUAUUAAUUAGGGUUGGUAAAUCUCGUGCCAGCCACCGCGGUCAUACGAUUAACCCAAGCUAACAGGAGUACGGCGUAAAACGUGUUAAAGCACCAUACCAAAUAGGGUUAAAUUCUAACUAAGCUGUAAAAAGCCAUGAUUAAAAUAAAAAUAAAUGACGAAGGUGACCCUACAAUAGCCGACGCACUAUAGCUAAGACCCAAACUGGGAUUAGAUACCCCACUAUGCUUAGCCCUAAACACAGAUAAUUACAUAAACAAAAUUAUUCGCCAGAGUACUACUAGCAACAGCUUAAAACUCAAAGGACUUGGCGGUGCUUUAUAUCCUUCUAGAGGAGCCUGUUCUAUAUAAUC
rnacentral:rRNA from 1 species